AUACGGGAGGCAGCAGUCGCGAAACCUUUGCAAUACACGAAAGUGUGACAGGGCUAUCCCGAGUGCCAUCCGCUGAGGAAGGCUUUUACCCAGUCUAGAACGCUGGGGGAAUAAGGAGAGGGCAAGUCUGGUGUCAGCCGCCGCGGUAAUACCAGCUCUCCGAGUGGUGUGGAUGUUUAUUGGGCCUAAAGCAUCCGUAGCUGGCUAGGUAAGUCCCUUGUUAAAUCCACCGAAUUAAUCGUUGGAUCGCGGGGGAUACUACUUGGCUAGGGGACGAGAGAGGCAGACGGUAUUUUCGGGGUAGGGGUGAAAUCCUAUAAUCCCGGGAAGACCACCAGUGGCGAAGGCUGUCUGCUAGAACGCGCCCGACGGUGAGGGAUGAAAGCUGGGGGAGCGAACCGGAUUAGAUACCCCGGUAGUCC
rnacentral:rRNA from 1 species